rnacentral:rRNA from 1 species
GCAUAUCAAUAAGCGGAGGAAAAGAAACUAACAAGGAUUCCCCUAGUAACUGCGAGUGAAGCGGGAAAAGCUCAAAUUUAAAAUCUGGCGGUCUUUGGCCGUCCGAGUUGUAAUCUAGAGAAGUAAUGCCCGUGCUGGACCGUGUAUAAGUCUCCUGGGAUGGGGCGUCAUAGAGGGUGAGAAUCCCGUCUUUGACACGGACUACCAGUGCAUUGUGGUAUGCUCUCAAAGAGUCGAGUUGUUUGGGAAUGCAGCUCAAAAUGGGUGGUAAAUUCCAUCUAAAGCUAAAUAUUGGCGAGAGACCGAUAGCGAACAAGUACCGUGAGGGAAAGAUGAAAAGAACUUUGGAAAGAGAGUUAAACAGUACGUGAAAUUGCUGAAAGGGAAACGCUUGAAGUCAGUCGCGUUGGCCGGGAAUCAGCCUUGCUUUUGCAUGGUGUACUUUCUGGUUGACGGGUCAGCAUCAAUUUUGACUGCUGGAAAAGGGCCUGGGGAAUGUGGCAGCUUCGGCUGUGUUAUAGCCCCUGGUCACAUACAGUGGUUGGGAUUGAGGAACUCAGCACGCCGCAAGGCCGGGUUUCGACCACGUUCGUGCUUAGGAUGCUGGCAUAAUGGCUUUAAGCGACCCGUCUUGAAACACGGACCAAGGAGUCUAACAUGCCUGCGAGUAUUUGGGUGGAAAACCCGAAUGCGCAAUGAAAGUGAAAGUUGAGAUCCCUGUCGUGGGGAGCAUCGACGCCCGGACCAGAACUUUUGGGACGGAUCCGCGGUGGAGCAUGUAUGUUGGGACCCGAAAGAUGGUGAACUAUGCCUGAAUAGGGUGAAGCCAGAGGAAACUCUGGUGGAGGCUCGUAGCGAUUCUGACGUGCAAAUCGAUCGUCAAAUUUGGGUAUAGGGGCGAAAGACUAAUCGAACCAUCUAGUAGCUGGUUCCUGCCGA